rnacentral:lncRNA from 1 species
UUUUUUUAAACAAAAAGUAGUCUUUAAUGGUCAAAUGAUACUCAUAAUAUUUUGAUUCAUUUACAAAUCAUUGGACAAUCCAUAUGAAGUUUUACAAUUAUCUCCCUACUGUUUUUUGAACUUUGCUUUGCAUUUCUGAGUCUUUAGCCACUCUUUUUUUUCUUUUGUGUGUGUGUGUUGUGGGGGGGGGUUCUCCUAACGAAAGAACUUCCAGGA